rfam:Candidate division WOR-1 bacterium RIFOXYC2_FTLL_46_14 rifoxyc2_full_scaffold_14, whole genome shotgun sequence.
GCCGCUGUGGUGGAAUUGGCAGACGCGUUCGCCUCAAAAGCGAAUGGGGGCAACCCCGUGUCGGUUCGACUCCGACCAGCGGCA